AGUAAUCUUCGGAUUCGAAGCUCUAUACUUUUCAAUUUCUUGCUUUAACCUAGCUUCUCUCCUAUCUUUCCUCCUAGAAUCCAUCCUCUGAUCAAUAGAUUCCCAAAUCGCAUCAGCUUCUUUAUCAUCUUCAUCAUACUCAGCAGACGCAAACAACCCCACAUCAUUUCCUUCAAAUUCAUCAAAUUUCUGAUUCUCAUCAUACCCUUUCUCCUCCGCAUCCUCCUCUUCGUCUUCCUCUCCAGCACCCUUUCCACGUCCACGUCCAACUCCAGUCGCCGGUGCACCCCCAACAGCUGACCGAUCAGGGAGGUCAGGAGCAGCACGAGCCGGACCAAUAUCAGAACGGGUCGUGAAACCGGUAGCACCACGACCCAACCCAGCAACAUAAUUCGGAGGAGGUCUCGUGUUAAGAAAUUCAAGCCGGGCUUUCGGUGCCCCGGGAGCUUGCAU
rnacentral:misc_RNA from 1 species